UCUUGGGCAAAUGCUGCAUAUAUUGUAAUGUAGAGGAAAGUCCAUGCUCACACAAGCUGUGAUGUUUGUAGUGUUCGUGCCUAGGGAAAAAAUAACCUAGGGUAGCUUUUGCUAACGGCUUCGAGGAAACCUGUCAAAUGGUUUUAGUAGAUAUAAAAGUGCCAUAGAGACGAGUUAUCUUGGAAACGAGAUAAGUGGAACGCGGUAAACCCCACGAGUGAGAAACCCAAAUUAUGGUCGGGGAGUUCUAUUUCGGGAAUCAAACUGAAAUAGGGCCUGCUUGCAGGAGAUAAAUAUUUGCCACUUUCAUAACCUGAAAGUACAGAACAUGGCUUAUAA
rnacentral:RNase_P_RNA from 2 species